AACGAACGCUGGCGGCAGGCCUAACACAUGCAAGUCGAGCGCCCCCUUCGGGGGGAGCGGCAGACGGGUGAGUAACGCGUGGGAACCUACCCAAUGGUACGGAAUAACUCGGGGAAACUCGUGCUAAUACCGUAUAAGCCCUCAGGGGGAAAGAUUUAUCGCCAUUGGAUGGGCCCGCGUCUGAUUAGCUUGUUGGUGAGGUAACGGCUCACCAAGGCUACGAUCAGUAGCUGGUCUGAGAGGAUGAUCAGCCACACUGGGACUGAGACACGGCCCAGACUCCUACGGGUGGCAGCCUGAGACGCCAAGGCACACAGGGGAUAGG
rnacentral:rRNA from 1 species